rnacentral:rRNA from 1 species
AUUGAACGCUGGCGGCAUGCCUUACACAUGCAAGUCGAACGGCAGCGCGGGAGCAAUCCUGGCGGCGAGUGGCGAACGGGUGAGUAAUACAUCGGAACGUGCCCAAUCGUGGGGGAUAACGCAGCGAAAGCUGUGCUAAUACCGCAUACGAUCUACGGAUGUAAGCAGGGGAUCGCAAGACCUUGCGCGAUUGGAGCGGCCGAUGGCAGAUUAGGUAGUUGGUGAGGUAAAGGCUCACCAAGCCUUCGAUCUGUAGCUGGUCUGAGAGGACGACCAGCCACACUGGGACUGAGACACGGCCCAGACUCCUACGGGAGGCAGCAGUGGGGAAUUUUGGACAAUGGGCGAAAGCCUGAUCCAGCCAUGCCGCGUGCAGGAUGAAGGCCUUCGGGUUGUAAACUGCUUUUGUACGGAACGAAACGGUCUUUUCUAAUAAAGAAGGCUAAUGACGGUACCGUAAGAAUAAGCACCGGCUAACUACGUG